GUCAAAGCGACAACCACCCGACCAUAGAGCAAACAACAGCCGAAGGCAACCAAUGGGUCUUCAAUGUAGCGAGAAUUCCCGCACCCGUAGGUGUCCUUCAGCUGGCCCCUAAAAUAUGCAUAAUAGUACAGUGAUAAUGGACGUCAUACUAAACUCCGAAUUAUACACAAGAAACUAAAAUUUUAAAAUCAUACAAGACUAACAAAGGCCAGAGGCUCCUGACUUGGGACAGGCGCAAAAUUGCGGCGGGGUUAAACAUGUUUAUGAGAUCUCAACCCUCCCCCUAUACCUCUAGCCAAUGUAGAAAAGUAAAAGAAUAACAAUACGCACAUUAAAAUUCAGUUCAAGAGAAGUCCGAGUCUGAUGUCAAAAGAUGUAACAAAAGAAAAUAAAUAAAAUGACAAUAAUACAUAAAUAAUAACAGACUACUAGCAGUUAACUGACAUGCCAGCUCCAGACCUCAAUUAAACUGAUUGAAAGAUUAUGUCUUCAUCAUAUGAAUAUCAGGUACAAUCCCUCCCGUUAGGGGUUUAGUAUCAUACUAUCAUAAAAUAUAUGAGAAGAACAUAACCCGUGUCAUGCCAACAACUGUUUUUUUUAAGAAAUAAAUGUGUUUAGUUCCGAUGCAAAGACCCUAUCAGUGAAUCAAUGUUAAAUCCAAAAUAUGCAAUCUUUAAUGACCUGACAACAGUAUCGUAACUAUAUCCCCUUUUAAUAAGUCUAUUUAAAGGUUUUGUUAGUUUCUGAGGAGAAUACUGACAUUUUUGUGCUUUAUAAAGAAUAUUUCCAUAAAAUUUU
rnacentral:lncRNA from 1 species